UACGUAGGUGGCAAGCGUUGUCCGGAUUUAUUGGGUUUAAAGGGCGCGUAGGCGGCCCUGUAAGUCAGUGCUGAAAUAUCCGGGCUUAACCGGGAGGGUGGCAUUGAUACUGCGGGGCUAGAGUACAGAUGAGGUAGGCGGAAUUGACGGUGUAGCGGUGAAAUGCUUAGAUAUCGUGAAGAACACCUAUAGCGAAGGCAGGUCUCUGGGCCGCUACUGACGCUGAGAAGCGAAAGCAUGGGGAGCGAACAGG
rnacentral:rRNA from 1 species